rnacentral:rRNA from 1 species
UACGGAGGGUGCAAGCGUUAUCCGGAUUCACUGGGUUUAAAGGGUGCGUAGGUGGGCAGGUAAGUCAGUGGUGAAAUCUCCGGGCUUAACCCGGAACUGCCGUUGAUACUAUCUGUCUUGAAUGUAGUGGAGGUGAGCGGAAUAUGUCAUGUAGCGGUGAAAAUGCUUUAGAUAUGAACAUAGAAACACCAAAUUUGCGAAAGGCAGCU